UACGGAGGGUGCAAGCGUUAAUCGGAAUUACUGGGCGUAAAGCGCGCGUAGGCGGUUUGUUAAGUGUGAUGUGAAAGCCCAGGGCUUAACCUUGGAACUGCAUCACAUACUGGCAAGCUAGAGUACGGUAGAGGGGGGUAGAAUUCCACGUGUAGCGGUGAAAUGCGUAGAGAUGUGGAGGAAUACCAGUGGCGAAGGCGGCCCCCUGGAUCGAUACUGACGCUGAGGUGCGAAAGCGUGGGGAGCAAACAGG
rnacentral:rRNA from 1 species